rnacentral:rRNA from 1 species
UUUUUCAUUAUUAUUUUUGCUGCAUGCGAGAAACAUGAUGCACGUGCGUGGUAAAUAAUUAACGCACGUGCGGGCAAAUAUUAAACGCGAUUUCUUAUUUCUGACGUUUGCGGUGAGUUGCAGCUUGCGGAUCGAUAUUGACGCGUGUAGGGGCGGCGUUAUGGUGGGAGCGGCACCGCUUUCUGAAAUAGUUCGACGGCGUGUGAAAACUUGUGGCAACUUGGCGACGGAGAGGGAGGGGUGAAAACCGUGGUAAACGUGGGAACGGUUGUUGAGGUGGAGAGAAAGUAGUAUGGUGAAGUAUCCAGCGGUGGCAAGCAAUGUACGGAAGAGUUUGGAGUGGAGCUGGGAGGGGCGAGCAUAAGGGUCGAAGUGAUAAGAAACAUAUCGGAUGCGAUCAUACCAGCACUAAAGCACCGGAUCCCAUCAGAACUCCAAAGUUAAGUAUGCUUGGGCGAGAGUACUACCAGGAUGGGUAACCUCCUGGGAAGUCCUCGUGUUGCAUUCCC